CUUCUGUGUGCCUUUGGAGUGGGGACGCCUGAGGGUCUGAGGGGACCCGCCCCUCACCACGACACAUACUGCUCAGUUGGAGUGCAUGAGGGAAUGUGCCCCAGGUGGAGUCGAGGAAUGCUCUAUGCUCCUCCAGCUGGGCAAAGAACUGGCCAGUUAAAGAGCAGCAGUGACUCUCUGUCCUCUGAAUUUUGUUCCAACAUAAUAAAUGCAUUCCAUCUCUAGCGAACUACGGUUAGGAGACAUCUUGUUUUUCUGCUUUUCCUAUCUACCUGUUGUUUCUGAGCUUUCCAUUGUAAUUGGCUCUUUUUUACUGCAGGUAUGGAUUCAACUUGUCGUACUUGAAUCUACUUUUAGGAUUUCACUAAGAUUGCCCUACCCUUUGGCUGGCACUUCUGUGAGUCUUGGUGGCUUUUCAUGGCGGAUGAUCCAAACCAUCAAGUCAAAGGAGACUUAAGUCCAUUUUUAUGAUGCCCUUGUUAGUCCUCGGAUGCUUUUCUUGUCCAUGUGUGGUUUAAAUUCAGUUUAAAUAUCAAAAGAAAUACAAGAAAAUCACCAGAGUUCUAAACACUCCUCCUUGCCCUCAUCAGGCAGUGGCAGUCUACCUUCCUUUGAUGAUAAGGUAACUGAACCUUGCUUGCUGAUCUACUGGAACAAGGAAACCAAUGAAACCAGGCUGCAGUAAUGGUUUACAGACACUCUCACGUGUCUCCUUUUGGAAAUGUUCAUCCUGGUGGCUUGCGACUCUAGACCCUGAGUCUUGUGAGGACAAGAAGGGCCAAUCCCCCAAACAGGAUACUGUGAGUGAUGGUAAACAAGGCCAAUCCUAUUUUAACUCAUUGGUCCCUGGACCCAUUCAAUCUACCUCUUGGGCACACAGUACCAGAUAAUGGCCAUUGGUUUAAGGGGUAUACUCCAGCCUGAAAGAUAAUGCCCCAUUUUCACUAGUUGUCAUCCUCAAGCUUGUACCUCAGCUCUUCCUUCAAUGGUCUAGUCCCCCACUUUAUCAGGCUAGCAAUUUCAGAGUAGUUUGUUGUGUAAUAAGACCUAUGAAUCCCAUAGCAGUGUAUCCACUAUUGACUGUACUUCCUUCCACAUAACAGUCACUUAGUCCAAGAAAAUGCUAUGUGAUUUCCCAUACCAGUAGAUUUCACAUUCUGAGUCCUGAGUGGUGCCACUAGGGACAGUGGACAAGAAAGAAAAACUCAGCCUCCAAAUAUGGUGAAUCUUGGCCAGUUCUUCACAGAGUGGAAGGGGUCCAAUGUAAUCAACUUUCCACACAAUGAUUGAUUGAUCUCUUUCUAAAGCUAGUACUGUAUUGCAGGCCUAGCAUUGAUCUCUGUUGUGGGUGGGUUGAACAUUAAGCAGUGGAGGUAGCAACACUAACCUCAAUUUACUCUCACCGCUCUCUUUUUGGGACACUUCUGUAUGAGGAUGUAAUGUAGGAGUAGAAAAUU
rnacentral:lncRNA from 1 species